GAUGAACGCUGGCGGCGUGCUUAACACAUGCAAGUCGAGCGAAGCAGUUUCACGGAAGUUUUCGGAUGGAAGAGGGACUGACUGAGCGGCGGACGGGUGAGUAACGCGUGGGGAACCUGCCUCAUACAGGGGAAUAACAGCUAGAAAUGGCUGCUAAUGCCGCAUAAGCGCACACUGUGGCAUCACAGGGUGUGAAAAACUCCGGUGGUAUGAGAUGGCCCCGCGUCUGAUUAGGCAGUUGGCGGGGUAACGGCCCACCAAACCGACGAUCAGUAGCCGACCUGAGAGGGUGACCGGCCACAUUGGGACUGAGACACGGCCCAA
rnacentral:rRNA from 1 species